CAAACAGAGGCUUCCCUCCACCAAGAUUUGAAAGUAUCUUGUCUCCCGAUUGGUCCUUUGGUCAGGUGUCAGCCAAGUUCACUGAGGCCACGUCCAGACUAGGAAUUAAAAUCGAUUUUAGAUACGCAACUUCAGCUACGGGAAUAACGUAGCUGAAGUCGAAUUUCUAAAAUCGAGGUACUCACCCGUCUGGACGGCGCGGCAUCGAUGUCCGCGGCUCUCCGUGUCGAUUCCGGAACUCCGUUCGGGUUGAUGGAGUUCCGGAAUCGAUGUAAGCGCGCUCGGGGAUCGAUACAUCGCGUCCAGACUAGAUGCGAUAUAUCGAUCCCCGAGCAAUCGAUUUUAACCCGCCGAUGCCGCGGGUUAGUCUGGACGAGGGCUGAGCUUCUUAAUCCUUUACAGGUAAAAGAGACAUUAACCCUUAACCAUCUGUUUAAGACAUAGUUGGUUUCCUGACAACCUGGUGAGCUGCAGAGGACUCCAUGAGCUGUGUCUCCAAGGCAUCCACCUCAGAAUCAAGGCUUCAUAACCUUUUGCAGAGAAUUCUGAUUUGGGGGUGGAGUGGUAUUGUAAGUGGGAAUGAAACCAGCUUUGGAAAUAUGGAAAUCCUCUACAAAACUGAAUUACUUUUCUCCAUCCAGGUUUACUUAAUAAACAGUAAGUGGAACUAACCACUCCAGCUCCAGUGUCUACACGGAGAAAAAUGCAAAAAUAAGCCAACAGUAAAUAGUGAAGGACUGAGUACAUUUUAAAAAAUUCUUUCCAUUUGAAUUAUCUAAACAUGUUCUCUUUAUCACAAAAAUUAAAAAACAAAAACAAACAACCUGCUAUAUUAACAGUGUCUCUAGCCAUCUCAUCAACUGCAACUGUCUAUUUGGAACCUCAUCCUGCAAUGACCUAUGGGAAGGGUCUGUCCAUGCCAACUUUCAACAGAUCUUUGCAUAUGUCCACACACAUGCAUCUCACUGCAGUACCAGGCCUUGAAGACUGGUAAAUAAAACAAUCUGUUCCUUAAAAUAAAUAAAUAAAUAAAACAAACAACAGCACAUGCUUUUGUGCAGUCAAUGAGGAAGAGGCAAGAUACACUAUGACAGACACCUGUAAAAAGCUUCUUCAAACAUAAACAUGAAAUAACCUUCUUUUAGCAACUGAGCUGAGAGAGAAAACCAAAACAAGCAAAUUAUAUGGGAAUGCUGUGCUGCUAUUGGGUGAUGUGACUCUACUACUAGCACUAUUUUUAUUUCAAUCAAUACUAGAUUCACAUGUUCAUCAACAUGAUAAAAAAAAAUCUGCUUAGUACUUCCAGCCCCUAAAGUUUAAAUGUCAUAUUAAUCACUCCUCUUCUCCCCACCCCUCAAAUAACGGAUGAGUUUAGAAUUUAUGAAAUUUUAAAACAGUGAAGUGUUCCUUCAGUCCUUCAUGAUUUUUGACACUUAGGGGUAAUCUGCCGCACCCUAGCAUUUUUGUAUGACCAUUUCAGGCUGAAAAUUCCACUUUACCUGCAUGCAAAAUGCAUGCACAAAAAUACACCCUCGUUAUAACGAAGCCCAAGGGAUCCAAGCCAUUUACUAUAUUUAAAUUAGUAAUGGGCAUUGGAGGUCAAAUACAGACUCAUCCAAAGGCAAUUUCAGCUUCCGCUCAGUAGCAUAUUAGUUAACCAGCCGGGCGACUUGCAUCAUGUAAAAAGUUCGUUUAACCCGGGGUCAGGAGACACUACCAGGUACAGGCAGGCUGACGAGUCAGAGGCAGGUUUCGGAAAUUCACGUGCUUGUUAAAAAUGUUACGCACGAUCAUCAGCGGGUACAAGAACAUCUUUAACUGUAAGACGGGCCAGCGCGCCUCUGUUUUCGAGGCGGAGCCUCCCCAGGAAAUACAGAGCAGCAAGUUGCUAAUCGGAGCCCUGGAGCACACGCCGCCCGGGCAAACUCGCUAGACGGACAACAGAGGCGCUGCUCCCCGCUGGCAGGAGGAUUGCAGCUGCAGCGGCGGCAGCUCCCCCCCGCCCU